UCAAACAGUAAAACUAAAUAUUAAGGAAAAAUAAAGACUCUAAAUUUCAUCAUGCGGAAGCAAAAAAAACUAGUCCCAAUGACACGAUCACAAAUUCCGCUGCGCCAUCACCGCUACAUCUUUACCUUUACCUGAAACUUAAGCCCAAAAUUACCAAUAAAUAAUUAUAUUC